rnacentral:rRNA from 1 species
GACGAACGCUGGCGGCGUGCUUAACACAUGCAAGUCGAACGGAAAGGCCCUGCUUGCAGGGUACUCGAGUGGCGAACGGGUGAGUAACACGUGGGUGAUCUGCCCUGCACUUCGGGAUAAGCCUGGGAAACUGGGUCUAAUACCGGAUAGGAGCCAUUUUUAGUGUGAUGGCUGGAAAGUUUUUUCGGUGUAGGAUGAGCUCGCGGCCUAUCAGCUUGUUGGUGGGGUAAUGGCCUACCAAGGCGGCGACGGGUAGCCGGCCUGAGAGGGUGGACGGCCACAUUGGGACUGAGAUACGGCCCAGACUCCUACGGGAGGCAGCAGUGGGGAAUAUUGCACAAUGGGCGCAAGCCUGAUGCAGCGACGCCGCGUGGGGGAUGACGGCCUUCGGGUUGUAAACUCCUUUCGCUAGGGACGAAGCUUUUGUGACGGUACCUAGAUAAGAAGCACCGGCUAACUACGUG